rnacentral:lncRNA from 1 species
UAUACAAAAAACUUGAAGUAUGAUGUGUACAUGUACAAGUUCUUAUUUUGUUAUUAAUUGAAUCUAUAUACAUACACUCUUGUCAUUAUAACUCAGGUAUUCUUACAAAAUAGUUGUUAAAGAAUAUAAUCAAGAGAAAAGGGAGCACUAGUAUGUAUCUAAUUAUGUGUUGAUGCAUGUAGUUUUUAAUUUUACAUGUUCACAUGUUUAAAAUGUAGUAUAAUUCUUCUUUUUUUUUUUUUUUUUGAAUGUGUAAUAAUAACUUUUGAAAAAUGCAACAUUUUUUUUUCUUUUUUUUUUUUUUUUGCAUUUCAACUUAAUAUAGCUAUGAUGUUACUUUUUUUGAAAAAAAUGAAAAUGAAUUUGUUCCGAAGUACACAAUAAAUGCAUAUUUUAUCAUAACGGAAAUAAAAAUAAUAAAUAGCUAUCUAAGUUAUUCAAGUGCUAAUGCUGGUGAAAAAUAUUUUGUGUCUUUUAAAUUCGAGAAUGAAAAUUUAUCCAGAACUUUAAAAAUGAACUUAAAUUAUGAAGCCUGGAUUGAUAAGUUGAUCAAAGACAAGAAAAAAUUAAGAAAUAAAAUAGAUUUAUCAUCUGAGUUUAUGAAAACUAGGUUUGUCGAACCCACUUCGGAGGAUAAUGUACAAAAGAUUUUACAAAAAAUUAAAGAAGAACGAGAAACAGCAAGAAAAAAAAAGAAAGAAGAAGAAGAAGAAGAAAAAAAUAAAAAUAAAAAGUAUGUAAAAAAAGAAGAUAUAUCAUUACAAAAGAAGACAUUUUAUGAAGAGGCGUACGCUUUAGACAAAAUUAGUUCGCAGACAGAUUUAACAAUAUCUACUAACAACGAAAAAAAUUGAAAAAAAUGUUACUAAAAGUGUAGAAAAUGCUAAAUUAAAUGAAGCGUGGUCAAUUUUAAGAAGUUGCUUAUAUUCUUAUUUUGAAGAUUUGGACAUUAAACAGAAAGGUAUAACUUAAAAAAAAAAAAAAAAGUUCUUACAAAAAUAGAAAAAUGGAAUAAACAAAGAUAAAUAAACA